rnacentral:rRNA from 1 species
ACGUAUGUGGCAAGCGUUAUCCGGAUUCACUGGGUGUAAAGGGAGCGUAGGCGGUUAAUUAAGUCAGAAGUGAAAGCCCGGGGCUCAACCCCGGGACUGCUUUUGAAACUAACUAACUAGAGUGCAGAAGAGGCGAGUGGAAUUCCUAGUGUAGCGGUGAAAUGCGUAGAUAUUAGGGGGAACACCAGAGGCGAAGGCGACUCGCUGGACUGUAACUGACGCUGAGGCUCGAAGGCGUGGGGAGCAAACAG